CUAUUACGUUCAUUCCGUUAAGCACAAAAAUUGAAAGUAAAAUAAAGUAAAAUCCAGUAGAAAUAUGAUCUUUUAGUAUAUCCAUAUUCGAGCUUUAAAAUCCUUUAAACGAUGUGUUAUGAAAAUAAUCAUAAAAUGUUCAUCCAAAACGUAUACAGUAUUAUGUAAAUCUCAAGUUCAAUAGACAUAUUCAAUACAGUCUACCUGUAUA
rnacentral:lncRNA from 1 species